rnacentral:sRNA from 1 species
CAACCUAUUUCAAAACCACGUGAAAGCAUAGCACUUGCUCUUUAGAGUUGGAUUUUAAUUUCUUUGACCCUUUUUUGUUGAAUCAAUUGAAAGAGAUAAUUACAUUAUGGAGUACUUUAGACGAAAGUUUUUACAAUUUAGGCACUUUGCAAGAAGUAGACAUUUUCUCAUCUUUUUAAUAGAAAAUUAGACAUUUAUACCCUUAACUGAACUAAGAGAAACAUAACGUCAAUUCUCUUCUCUCUCUCUCUCUCUCUCUCUCUCUC